GGAAAUAACACAAGAGGCAAAGAUCACUCGGGACCACCUUGUAUAUUGGCUACCACAGAACCCAACACAAGCAGUAAGUUAAAAUCAUGAAGCUCCUGACGUCAGAGGACAUGGCUCUGCCAUUUGUUAGGUAGGGAUCCUGUUAAAGGCUCAGCUUCCUCAUCUGGAAAUGGAAAUAUAGGCCUUGCCUGGUUUGCUGUAAUGGGUCGUGAUGAGGACCAAACUACAAAGAGUGGUACAGAUGUUAAUUACAAUGAUUUUUCCUAUGCCACCCAUGGAAACAAAAAUAGCAAGAUAGAGAAGGCUAAAUCCCAGUUUUUUUUGACUGCUAUUCAGCAAAGCCUAGGAGACUUUCAUGACACCUGGAGAGGCGGCCGUAGUGUAUGUGUAAGAGUACCGGUUCCAGAGUGGGGCUCCCCGAGCUCAGCCCCACCACUUACCAACAGCGGACCUUGGGCCAGAUGCUGAAGCCCUUUGUGCCUUGGUUUCCUGACCUAUUACUGUGGAAAUGAUGACAGUACCCUCCUCAUGGCAUCGUGAGAAUUAAAUUAGCUAAUUCAGGUGAAGCAUUUAGAAGAGGACCUCCUGACACUUAAUAACUGCUUGAUAUAAAUAAUAGCUUCUGCUACAGAGUGGCCAUGAAGUCUGGACAUGUAGAUAUUAUAUUAUCAUGCAUCAUAAGCCGUUCUUUCCCAAGUUACCUCUCUCAGAUUCCUGCAGAAAAGCCUGAGUGCCAGCCUCCAGCUCUGGAUAAGAUUCUCCAAGAGUGGUUCUCAAUCUUGCAGAAACUCAGAAUCUCCUAGGAGCUCAAAACAACACCACCAACAACAACAACACCUCUUCUCCAAGCCGCAGACUCAGGAAAUGUGAUUCAUUCAAUCUGCCUGGGGUGGUCUAGGCAUAGUACUUUCUUUACCUUCUAUCGCAUUAGCACUGCAAUGAAUGCUGCUGCACACGCUGUUGAGCUCGUGGACACUUUCCUGCUGGGUGAGGACCCGAACGUGAAAUUGCUGGGUCAUGGAUUCAAGUGCUACACAUAUUUUUGACCACAUUACUGUGACUCAGGAAGCCCAGGAACAGAAUUCUAGGCACCAGAACCAUACAUGUUACAGCCUCUGAGCUUUAUGGCCUCUGAGCCAUUUGUCCAGCCACAUCAUUUGCAGAUGAGAUCCUGAGACUCAGGCUGGAAAAGUGACCGGGGAAAAGUCACACAAGUCAGAGGCAGAGCUGGAGUUUCCUCAUUUCCAGGCCCGUAUAGAUCAAGACGGACGUUGGUCAAACACCUCCUAGUACUCACAUGAAGAAGCUCUCCUUUCUGCUGUAGGAAUGAUCACACACCAUUCCAAUCUGGAUACCAAAUGUCAUUGUUUAUUAAAUGUGUGCAGUGUGCCAGG
ensembl:lncRNA LINC01968 long intergenic non-protein coding RNA 1968